rnacentral:rRNA from 1 species
AGUUGCCAUCAUUUAGUUGGGCACUCUAAUGAGACUGCCGGUGACAACCGGAGGAAGGUGGGGAUGACGUCAAGUCCUCAUGGCCCUUAUGGGUAGGGCUUCACACGUCAUACAAUGGUCGGUACAGAGGGUUGCCAAGCCGCGAGGUGGAGCCAAUCCCUUAAAGCCGAUCGUAGUCCGGAUCGUAGUCUGCAACUCGACUACGUGAAGUCGGAAUCGCUAGUAAUCGCAGAUCAGCAUGCUGCGGUGAAUACGUUCCCGGGUCUU